GUCCCCAGACAAUCGUGACUAAUCACGUGACAAAGCCUCGUGAACAUCAGACUGGCUGCAGGCUGCGAAUCAACCACAAGAACUGAAGGAAGAACCUCAAACUUAAUGAGCCACACAGUUAAUGUUCUAAGGAAGCUGUGAGAAGGUUUUUCAAAAGCCAGUGAUGAUGAAGAUCGCUCUCCUCAUCGUAUUGACAGCAGCCGUAACAACGGUUCAGAAAUGCAGAGGUCAUAAAAUAAACGUCCUUUAUGAUACCUCCGUCAACUUCACAUGUGACCCCGCGACAUCCAAGGAUCCUGACCUUCGACUGUCCAGCCAGGAGAUUUUCGACGAUUGUGGGUUUUACCAACCGGGGAGGUUCUUCAAACCGAGACCACGAAUCAUAGUCGGGUGGCCGUGCUGGAGGGCGGACGAGUGUUGCACGUGAGAAAAGUGGAUGACGUGGACUUCGGGGUGUAUUACUGUCUGAUCUACAUCCACACGGUAGACCGCUACCUCACGGUUCAACAUGGCAUCAACGUUAAUGGACCUUACUGGGGCGACUUGUUUCUUAAGUACAGAACCAAUCUUAUCACAGGUUCCAUAGCUGCAGCCGUCUGCUUCGCCGCCAUCGGGAUGCUGUGCUGUUUGUACAACCACCAACAGGCCAAGGGAGAUAAGGAG